rnacentral:tRNA from 1 species
GCCUUAUUGAGACUGGGCUUUCUGCUGCCUUCUAAGCAGUCGGUCGAUGGUUCGAAUCCAUCAGGGGGCG